GCCAGGCACAGUGGCACAUGCCUGUAGCCCCAGCUACUCAGAGGCUGAGGUGGGAGGAUCACUUGAGCCCAGGAGUUCUGGGCUGUAAUGCGCUAUGCUGAUCAGGUGUCCGAACUAAGUUCAUCAUCAAUAUGGUAACCUCCCAGGAGCGGGAGACCACCAGGUUGCCUAAGGAGGGGUGAACCGGUCCAGGUGGGAAACAGAGCAGGUCAAAACUAACAUGCUGAUCAGUAUGAGAUCAUGCCUGUGAAUAGGCACUAUACUCCAGCCUAGGAAACACAGCGAGACCCCAUCUCU
rnacentral:SRP_RNA from 1 species